rnacentral:rRNA from 1 species
GACGAACGCUGGCGGCGUGCUUAACACAUGCAAGUCGAACGGAAAGGCCCUGCUUUUGUGGGGUGCUCGAGUGGCGAACGGGUGAGUAACACGUGAGUAACCUGCCCUUGACUUUGGGAUAACUUCAGGAAACUGGGGCUAAUACCGGAUAGGAGCUCCUGCUGCAUGGUGGGGGUUGGAAAGUUUCGGCGGUUGGGGAUGGACUCGCGGCUUAUCAGCCUGUUGGUGGGGUAGUGGCUUACCAAGGCUUUGACGGGUAGCCGGCCUGAGAGGGUGACCGGCCACAUUGGGACUGAGAUGCGGCCCAGACUCCUACGGGAGGCAGCAGUGGGGAAUAUUGCACAAUGGGCGGAAGCCUGAUGCAGUAACGCCGCGUGCGGGAUGACGGCCUUCGGGUUGUAAACCGCUUUCGCCUGUGACGAAGCGUGAGUGACGGUAAUGGGUAAAGAAGCACCGGCUAACUACGUG